GAUGGGCAUGUUGCUGUCUCAGCUCUAUUCAGUCUGACCCUCACUGCUCUGAAUAAACCUGAUCUUCCAAGAGAUUUGCCUUGCUCUGCAAAAACCAAGAUUCAUGUUCAGUUUACUGAAGAUUUGCAGAAAGAGAAAGUUAAUGGGAAUUUCUUCUGUCCUGGAAAGUAAACAACUUGUUAAUGAAGGAAGCAGACUACUGUAUGCACCCAGAGUCCAGGACUUGUGCUGGCCAUCCCAGAGCUUUGUCCUAAGAUUAGACGCAAUUGGAUUUCCUUCAUGAAGGAAAUCAACAUAUUCUUAGUAGGAAUUGCAAAUCCUGGCCUCUUUUCCUUCUUAACA